rnacentral:rRNA from 1 species
UGGGGAAUAUUGCACAAUGGGCGCAAGCCUGAUGCAGCCAUGUCGCGUGUAUGAAGAAGGCCUUCGGGUUGUAAAGUACUUUCAGCGAGGAGGAAGGCGUUGUGGUUAAUAACCGCAGCGAUUGACGUUACUCGCAGAAGAAGCACCGGCUAACUCCGUGCCAGCAGCCGCGGUAAUACGGAGGGUGCAAGCGUUAAUCGGAAUUACUGGGUGUAAAGCGCACGCAGGCGGUCUGUCAAGUCGGAUGUGAAAUCCCCGGGCUCAACCUGGGAACUGCAUCCGAAACUGGCAGGCUAGAGUCUUGUAGAGGGGGGUAGAAUUCCAGGUGUAGCGGUGAAAUGCGUAGAGAUCUGGAGGAAUACCGGUGGCGAAGGCGGCCCCCUGGACAAAGACUGACGCUCAGGUGCGAAAGCGUGGGGAGCAAACA